CCGGGUGAGCCGGAGCAGAAGAGGCUCGGAGGGCACCCCUGGCAACCAGCCAAGCCAAGUGGCGCCUUUGCAGAGAUGUCAGGGAGAGGUCAGCAGGGUGACACGCUCCAGGAAGCAGACUCUUCUUUCCUAGGGCUCAGAACUGAGAAAAGAGACAAGGAGAAGGUGCUUUGGAGAACAGCCCGACUCCCUCUUCUUUGUGGCAGCCCCUGAGAUAUUGGAAGACUGCUAUCAUGUCUCCCCUAGUCCUUCUUUUCAUUAAACUAGACAUACCCAGUUCCUGCAACCGUUCUUCAUAUGUUUUAGUCUCCAGUCCCCUAAUCAUCUUUGUUGCUCUUCUCUGCACUCUUUCUAGAGUCUCAGCAUCUUGUGCCCAGGCUCAAAUCCCUCUUAUCUCACCACUGCCUUGGGAGCAGCCCUUCCUCCUGUGCUUCAGAGCCAGAGAAUGGAGCAACUCGUCACAGCCAACUUGCUGUGGCCAACUCACCAUGGCCAACUCAUUGCAGUCAACUCAUUAUGGCCAACAUAUUCCAUGGCCAACUCACCAUGGCCAACUCAUUGCAGUCAACUCUGUGGCUCAGACUGGUUCGGCCGAACUAGUCCAAACUGGCUGAAUGCCACCUCUGAUGCAGACCAACAAGGCUUUUCUCCUACAAUGUCAAAGAGAAGACCUGAUCUACCAUUUCUCUCC